rnacentral:rRNA from 1 species
AGUAACGAUAAAGCGGGUGAAAAGCCCGCUCGCCGGAAGACCAAGGGUUCCUGUCCAACGUUAAUCGGGGCAGGGUGAGUCGACCCCUAAGGCGAGGCCGAAAGGCGUAGUCGAUGGGAAACAGGUUAAUAUUCCUGUACUUGGUGUUACUGCGAAGGGGGGACGGAGAAGGCUAUGUUGGCCGGGCGACGGUUGUCCCGGUUUAAGCGUGUAGGCUGGUUUUCCAGGCAAAUCCGGAAAAUCAAGGCUGAGGCGUGAUGACGAGGCACUACGGUGCUGAAGCAACAAAUGCCCUGCUUCCAGGAAAAGCCUCUAAGCAUCAGGUAACAUCAAAUCGUACCCCAAACCGACACAGGUGGUCAGGUAGAGAAUACCAAGGCGCUUGAGAGAACUCGGGUGAAGGAACUAGGCAAAAUGGUGCCGUAACUUCGGGAGAAGGCACGCUGAUAUGUAGGUGAAGUCCCUCGCGGAUGGAGCUGAAAUCAGUCGAAGAUACCAGCUGGCUGCAACUGUUUAUUAAAAACACAGCACUGUGCAAACACGAAAGUGGACGUAUACGGUGUGACGCCUGCCCGGUGCCGGAAGGUUAAUUGAUGGGGUCAGCGCAAGCGAAGCUCUUGAUCGAAGCCCCGGUAAACGGCGGCCGUAACUAUAACGGUCCUAAGGUAGCGAAAUUCCUUGUCGGGUAAGUUCCGACCUGCACGAAUGGCGUAAUGAUGGCCAGGCUGUCUCCACCCGAGACUCAGUGAAAUUGAACUCGCUGUGAAGAUGCAGUGUACCCGCGGCAAGACGGAAAGACCCCGUGAACCUUUACUAUAGCUUGACACUGAACAUUGAGCCUUGAUGUGUAGGAUAGGUGGGAGGCUUUGAAGUGUGGACGCCAGUCUGCAUGGAGCCGGCCUUGAAAUACCACCCUUUAAUGUUUGAUGUUCUAACGUUGACCCGUUAUCCGGGUUGCGGACAGUGUCUGGUGGGUAGUUUGACUGGGGCGGUCUCCUCCUAAAGAGUAACGGAGGAGCACGAAGGUUGGCUAAUCCUGGUCGGACAUCAGGAGGUUAGUGCAAUGGCAUAAGCCAGCUUGACUGCGAGCGUGACGGCGCGAGCAGGUGCGAAAGCAGGUCAUAGUGAUCCGGUGGUUCUGAAUGGAAGGGCCAUCGCUCAACGGAUAAAAGGUACUCCGGGGAUAACAGGCUGAUACCGCCCAAGAGUUCAUAUCGACGGCGGUGUUUGGCACCUCGAUGUCGGCUCAUCACAUCCUGGGGCUGAAGUAGGUCCCAAGGGUAUGGCUGUUCGCCAUUUAAAGUGGUACGCGAGCUGGGUUUAGAACGUCGUGAGACAGUUCGGUCCCUAUCUGCCGUGGGCGCUGGAGAACUGAGGGGGGCUGCUCCUAG